rnacentral:rRNA from 1 species
AACGAACGCUGGCGGCAGGCUUAACACAUGCAAGUCGAACGCCCCGCAAGGGGAGUGGCAGACGGGUGAGUAACACGUGGGAACAUGCCCAAAGGUACGGAAUAUUCUCGGGAAACUGAGAGCAAUACCGUAUGUGCCCGAAAGGGGAAAGAUUUAUCGCCUUUGGAUUGGCCCGCGUCGGAUUAGCUAGUUGGUGGGGUAAAAGCCUACCAAGGCGACGAUCCGUAGCUGGUCUGAGAGGACGACCAGCCACACUGGGACUGAGACACGGCCCAGACUCCUACGGGAGGCAGCAGUGGGGAAUCUUGGACAAUGGGCGCAAGCCUGAUCCAGCCAUGCCGCGUGGAUGAUGAAGGCCCUAGGGUUGUAAAAUCCUUUCGUGGGGGACGAUAAUGACGGUACCCAAAGAAGAAGCUCCGGCUAACUUCGUG